rnacentral:sRNA from 1 species
AGCAGCCGCGGUAAUUCCAGCUCCAAUAGCGUAUAUUAAAGUUGUUGCAGUUAAAAAGCUCGUAGUUGAAUUUCGGGGUCAGCAGGUUGGUCGUGCCAAUGGUAUGCACUGGCCUUGCUGAUUCCUCCCUCUUGAUGAGCCGUAAUGCCAUUAAUUUGGUGUUGCGGGGAAUCAGGACUGUUACUUUGAAAAAAUUAGAGUGUUUAAAGCAGGCAAGCGCUUGAAUACAUUAGCAUGGAAUAAUGAAAUAGGACGUUCGAUCCUAUUUUGUUGGUUUCUAGGAUUGACGUAAUGAUUAAUAGGGAUAGUUGGGGGCAUUAGUAUUCAAUUGUCAGAGGUGAAAUUCUUGGAUUUAUUGAAGACUAACUACUGCGAAAGCAUUUGCCAAGGAUGUUUUCAUUAAUCAAGAACGAAAGUUAGGGGAUCGAAGACGAUCAGAUACCGUCGUAGUCUUAGCCAUAAACUAUGCCGACUAGGGAUCGGAUGAUGUAAUUUUUUAAUGA